AGUGAACGCUGGCGGUAGGCCUAACACAUGCAAGUCGAACGGCCGCACAGUAAGAGCUUUCCCUUACGGGUGGCGAGUGGCGGACGGGUGAGGAAUACAUCGGAAUCUACUUUUUCGUGGGGGAUAACGUAGGGAAACUUCCGCUAAUACCUCAUACGACCUACGGGUGAAAGCAGGGGAUCUUCGGACCUUGCCCGAUUGAAUGAGCCGAUGUCGGAUUAGCUAGUUGGCGGGGUAAAGGCCCACCAAGGCGACGAUGCGUAGCUGGUCUGAGAGGAUGAUCAGCCACACUGGAACUGAGACACGGUCCAGACUCCUACGGGAGGCAGCAGUGGGGAAUCUUGGACAAUGGGCGAAAGCCUGAUCGAGCCAUACCGCGUGAGUGAAGAAGGCCUUCGGGUUGUAAAGCCCUUUUGUUGGGAAAGAAAAGCAGCAGGUUAAUCCCCCGAUGUUCUGACGGUACCCAAAGAGUAAGCAACGGCUAACUUCGUG
rnacentral:rRNA from 1 species